rnacentral:lncRNA from 1 species
UCCAUUAUCAAUCAUCACCACUCACUAUCCCCACCAUUUCGACCACCAUCAUUCUCACCCACAAUCAACACUCAUCCACCUCAACUACCAUAACUGACCACCUCAUCAACAUCAAUAACCACAUCCGACACUGCUCAUUAUUAUAACCUACCACCAUCCACCCACCACCUUUCUAAGUCACAACUACUAUCAUCGCCCGCCGUUAUUAACUAUCACCAUCCACCACCAUCAUCCUCAAUCAUAAUCGCCACCACUACCAAUCACUACUAGCUACCAGCAUGAACCACCAUCGUCAACCAAAACUACCAUCAACCAUCGCCUCUAGUCGGCAUUCACCCGUUAGCCAUCACCACCAACAACUAUCAUAUUUUAAAAACUAUAUAUUUUAUUGAUAGAAUAUUAGAUUAGUUAGUAUUUCAUUUGAAUUUUAUGUUUAUUAUUUUUCAGGCAUUCACCCGUUAGCCAUCACCACCAACAACUAUCAUAUUUUAAAAACUAUAUAUUUAAUUGAUAGAAUAUUAAAUUAGUUAGCAUUUCAUUUGAAUUUUAUGUUUUAUGAUUUUCAAAUAAAGAUAAAUUUUAUACAUUCAUAUAUUAAAAAUCAAA